CGGGGCCUACGGGGGGCAGCAGUGGGGGAUAUUGCACAAUGGGGGAAACCCUGAUGCAGCGACGCCGCGUGGGCGAAGAAGUAUUUCGGUAUGUAAAGCCCUAUCAGCAGGGAAGAAGAAAUGACGGUACCUGAGUAAGAAGCACCGGCUAAAUACGUGCCAGCAGCCGCGGUAAUACGUAUGGUGCAAGCGUUAUCCGGAUUUACUGGGUGUAAAGGGAGCGUAGACGGCAGUGCAAGUCUGAAGUGAAAGGCGGGGGCCCAACCCCCGGACUGCUUUGGAAACUGUGCUGCUGGAGUGCAGGG
rnacentral:rRNA from 1 species